rnacentral:rRNA from 1 species
AACGUAGGAGACAAACGUUAUCCGGAUUUACUGGGCGUAAAGGGCGUGCAGGCGGUCUGUUAAGUCUGGCGUGAAAGCUCCUGGCUAAACCGGGAGAGGUCGUUGGAUACUGGCGGACUAGAGGACGGUAGAGGCGUGUGGAAUUCCGGGUGUAGUGGUGAAAUGCGUAGAGAUCCGGAGGAACACCAGUGGCGAAGGCGGCUUUCUGGGCCUUACCUGACGCUGAGACGCGAAAGCGUGGGGAGCGAACCGG